CGACCAUAUUGCGAAAAUCUUCGCAAUAAAUGUCAGGUGGAAGGCCGAAAGCGAGGAGGCGCAGAGAUCACAUAGCACACGUGUAAAAAACAGAACCGCAAAAGAAGUUGAUAUGUCCAAGCCCCAGCCACCUCGACUCCAUACAAUUCAGAUCUCAACAACCGAGAGCGGAUUCUUAUGAAGACUGUACUUCUGAUUAACUUGGAGGUCAAGGACAACCAUGAGGAGGCAGCAACUGGAGCUCAGCGUGCUUUAGAUCUUUGUCGAGAGAGGCAGAACAGGCGGAAAUUUUUAUUCAGCAUUUCCUUCUAUUGAUGACCGUGGUGAGGGCAAGACUAUUGUUCUGAAAGCUUUAUGAUCCAUGUCGUUGUUCUGUUAGUAUUUUGACUGCAAAUUUAUAUGUCGACGAACUGAACUUUGGGUUUCUGUUUGUCCAUCUACUUGCACAAGUGGUAAUAGACUUAAAUACAUUACCAGAUUUCUUCCAACGCUGUUACUGUUUGCUUUGCACGAAGCCUUCCCUAGAAAUCUUUCCUUUCUAAGCCCAGCGAGCCCUAUUUAAUCCAUUACACAGCUAAUCAUUUCAUUAUACCCUAUCCUGAAUUUGAUCUCUUCUUAUGUCAGGAAGACUGAAUCAGGCUCUCCCAUGUUUUUACGCCUUCGCUUGAUCUUGGUAUUCCAUGCCAAUUGUUGGGUUUGAUGAGCACUUUCCUUGACUACUCGUUAGUGGUAGGUCAUUUUGCAACAAUAUCUUUAUCUGCAUAAUGAGAAUUGUCAUUCUCACGCUUUGAAUUGAAUUUGCUACAGAAUCCUAUUCUUUGCUGUUAUUGCCAAGCCUGUCAUACUAAUG